rnacentral:lncRNA from 10 species
CAGCCUUCUUCUGGAGGCCCCUUGUUUCGCGUCCCUACCCUAGGCUGGAUGGGUUUUUGCUGAGGGAGCAUGAAAUGAUGGAACGGUGCAGAGUCCAGGGAUUGAAAAGAAGGCCUGCCUAGGAAUGGAGACCCUCCCCACCAUGUGCUUAGGAUGGGGGAUAGGGGAGCUUGUACACUGUGGAGUCUCCCACCCCCAGGUUUCCCCAUCUCCACCCCCACCAGGAGCAGAGAGGACCUGACUGAAGCCAUCCACACUCACACAAGUAUUUCCUUGGCAGCAUCCCCUGCCUGAGUGCACCCCCUCCCUGCAUUCUCCCAGACAAAGGUCAGCACUAGAGGGAGUAGAGAGAACAUAAGGCAACAGAACACUGGCCCGAAAUUGUGGAUACCUAGGUUUGAACGCAAGAUUCGCUCCUCAAUACCUGAGUGAUUUGAGACAACUGACCACCCCACCUGGGACACUAGCUUUAUCCUCUGUAACCUAUGGCUUGGUGAGUAUCAAACUAGACAAUGUACACCCAGUCACGUAGCCCAGUGUCAGCCAGGCAGUCCUGUAAAUACGUGUUCUUUCUGCCCUUUUUUUUUUUUUUUUUUUAAGAUUAUCCAAUUCCAAGAGAGGAGGGGGCUGGAUUGGCAGGACAAUUUGAGAUGGUUUGGAGGAGGGGGAAUACCUACCUUGACCUCCUUCUCUCUUUUCUGUCCAUGAAUUUGCCUUCCUCCAAUCCUGUGACCACUUACGCCUAAGGCCACUCAUUCCAAACAACUAGCUUGGUCAGAUUCCAUGCUGACCAACACAAUGGUGAUCAUCUGGGUGGACAGGGGGACUACAACCCACCCUAUAAAGGUCUUUGCCUCCUGUGAAUCUGAGAUUUCCCUCUCCUAGAUUACACAUGUGGAAGGUAGAAGCUUAGGAAGGAAGAAAAAACUGCCUUACUUGAGCAUGCACUAAUGCCAGGCACUGCCCUAGGCCUUUUACACUUGCCGACUCAUUUACCUUUCAUGAGGACCUUUGGAAGAAGGUGCUAUUACCUCCAUUGAACAAGUAGGAAAACUGAAGUUCAGA